rnacentral:rRNA from 1 species
GUCCACGCCGUAAACGAUGGAUACUAGCUGUUGGGAGCGAUCUCAGUGGCUAAGCGAAAGUGAUAAGUAUCCCACCUGGGGAGUACGUUCGCAAGAAUGAAACUCAAAGGAAUUGACGGGGGCCCGCACAAGCGGUGGAGCAUGUGGUUUAAUUCGAUGAUACGCGAGGAACCUUACCAAGGCUUAAAUGUAGAUUGACCGGACUGGAAACAGUUUUUUCGCAAGACAAUUUACAAGGUGCUGCAUGGUUGUCGU